UAACUGAAGAGUUUGAUCAUGGCUCAGAUUGAACGCUGGCGGCAGGCUUAACACAUGCAAGUCGAGCGGGGGAAGGUAGCUUGCUACUGGACCUAGCGGCGGACGGGUGAGUAAUGCUUAGGAAUCUGCCUAUUAGUGGGGGACAACAUCUCGAAAGGGAUGCUAAUACCGCAUACGUCCUACGGGAGAAAGCAGGGGAUCUUCGGACCUUGCGCUAAUAGAUGAGCCUAAGUCGGAUUAGCUAGUUGGUGGGGUAAAGGCCUACCAAGGCGACGAUCUGUAGCGGGUCUGAGAGGAUGAUCCGCCACACUGGGACUGAGACACGGCCCAGACUCCUACGGGAGGCAGCAGUGGGGAAUAUUGGACAAUGGGGGGAACCCUGAUCCAGCCAUGCCGCGUGUGUGAAGAAGGCCUUAUGGUUGUAAAGCACUUUAAGCGAGGAGGAGGCUACUUUAGUUAAUACCUAGAGAUAGUGGACGUUACUCGCAGAAUAAGCACCGGCUAACUCUGUGCCAGCAGCCGCGGUAAUACAGAGGGUGCGAGCGUUAAUCGG
rnacentral:rRNA from 1 species